AUCGAUGGGAGCUUGCUCCCUGAGAUUAGCGGCGGACGGGUGAGUAACACGUGGGCAACCUGCCUAUAAGACUGGGAUAACUUCGGGAAACCGGAGCUAAUACCGGAUACGUUCUUUUCUCGCAUGAGAGAAGAUGGAAAGACGGUUUACGCUGUCACUUAUAGAUGGGCCCGCGGCGCAUUAGCUAGUUGGUGAGGUAAUGGCUCACCAAGGCGACGAUGCGUAGCCGACCUGAGAGGGUGAUCGGCCACACUGGGACUGAGACACGGCCCAGACUCCUACGGGAGGCAGCAGUAGGGAAUCUUCCGCAAUGGACGAAAGUCUGACGGAGCAACGCCGCGUGAACGAAGAAGGCCUUCGGGUCGUAAAGUUCUGUUGUUAGGGAAGAACAAGUACCAGAGUAACUGCUGGUACCUUGACGGUACCUAACCAGAAAGCCACGGCUAACUACGUGCCAGCAGCCGCGGUAAUACGUAGGUGGCAAGCGUUGUCCGGAAUUAUUGGGCGUAAAGCGCGCGCAGGUGGUUCCUUAAGUCUGAUGUGAAAGCCCACGGCUCAACCGUGGAGGGUCAUUGGAAACUGGGGAACUUGAGUGCAGAAGAGGAAAGUGGAAUUCCAAG
rnacentral:rRNA from 2 species